CCAACACUGGGACUGAGAACUGCCCAGACUCCUACGGGAGGCUGCAGUCGAGAAUCAUUCGCAAUGGGCGAAAGCCUGACGAUGCGACGCCGUGUGAGCGAUGAAGGCCUUAGGGUCGUAAAGCUCUUUCGCUUGGGAACAAGAGAAGCUGGCUAAUAUCCAGCGRAUUUGAGGGUACCAGGGAAAGGAGCACCGGCUAACUC
rnacentral:rRNA from 1 species